UACGUAGGCAGCGAGCGUUGUUCGGAGUUACUGGGCGUAAAGGGUGUGUAGGCGGUUCUUAAGUUUGGUGUGAAAUCUCCCGGCUCAACCGGGAGGGUGCGCCGAAUACUGAGGGACUUGGAGUGCGGGAGAGGAAAGUUGGAAUUCCUGGUGUAGCGGUGAAAUGCGUAGAUAUCAGGAGGAACACCGGUGGUGUAGACGGCUUUCUGGACCGUAACUGACGCUGAGACACGAAAGCGUGGGUAGCAAACAGG
rnacentral:rRNA from 1 species